UGGGAAACUUACCCUUAAUCCACUCACCAAGAUGAGGGUAGACUCUGCUCUCUCCUCCAGAACACAGAGCCUGUGGUUCUGAUGUCAUGGGGGCACUUAGCAAUCUGUAUUGCCAUAGCUUUCCUCCCGAGGAGAUGCUAUAGGCAUAUUGUGCGUUGGGACUAUGUUUUAUUCAUUGAUAGAUUCCCAGCACCUAGGAUAGUAUUUGGCAAAUAAUCAACACUUAAUAAAUAUUUGUUGAAUGAGUGUUAUGUAGACACAGUGCAAAGUAGCCUUUGGCCAGAGCAAUGAUUACAGUAUUAGCAAAUCUGUGCUAUUUUUCUUUCUUCAGAACAGUUCACUUUGAUUUAUCUCGAACUGUUAUGCAAGCUGUAACUAAAAACGACUGUGCUUGACACUGACUAUAAAAAUACCACUGUGCAGACUGUGUUUUUAAAAACCAAUAUUGAAGCUCAAAUCAUUUAUAGUGAUGUCCAUAUUAAAUGCUCUCUACCUACGUUCGCUAAGUGUUGAAAGAUUUUUUUUUUUUUUUUUUUUUGCAUCUUUUCUACAGAUUUCUUCUCCAGCUGCUACCAUAAUAGCUUCCUUUCCUUGGUUCACACUGUUGCUAAAUGCAAACAAAUCAGACUGUCACAGAAUCCACCUGAUACCCGGAGUAAGCUGUAGUCCAGUGAAUCAUCCAUUGACUCAUUCAGCGCACUUAGCACUUGCUAGAGGCAAGCCUGAAUAAGUCCCUAUCCUCAAUGUACUGACAGGUAAGAGAUCGUCUCACCAAUAACAGCCCUGUAGGUAUAAGAAAUGUACACAUGUUCAUAGUGAUUUCUGAAUAAAUUCAAAAUGACAGUAAAUAUUUCAGAGUAGAUUUUUAUGCCCACUGGUAUACGUAGAUGAAAUUCAUUAAAAGUUUAGCAUUUAAAAAUGGUAACAGCCUAGAAGCAUUUUUUUCAAAAAAACAAAAAAACCAAAGUUUCGGGUUACUAUAAAGUUUUUGUUGUCAAGUUCAGAAGUAUACACACUGGGCAGAGCAAGAGGUUUUACUAGUUGUCGAUAUGUAAAUAAUUAGCAGUUCUUAUAUUCCACAAAAUGAGAAGAAUCACCAAGUCCACCUGUAUCUCAAAACCUUCUUUCUACACUUGCCUUUGCUUGUGAAAUCAGCUGGAGCAUGCUAAGCAAUGCUUAACUCAGUUGAUUAAUUUUUAUUUGAUAUUAACCAAGAUUUUCCCAUAAAAUAAGUUAUGACAUGAAAUUUAAUAUAUCAUGAAAUUUAACCAUCCUCAAACAAAAAAUAAUAAUAAAAAGCCAAGUGAAAUGAAAGAUCUGAAUGAUACUCUGAAACAAAGUUGGGUCCUCCACCCAUGUAUGUACCUCAGACAGGUUGAGACUGUUUUACUCUUGCUCACUAAUCUAGUCCCUGUGUGCCUGGCACAUAGUGGGUUUUCUUUCAGAAAGUAAUAACAGAGAAUGAGACGAUGGGAUUAUAACGAGGCCCUAAUAUAUAAAUGAGUAAUAUUAGUCACAUUAAUUUCCCAAUUAAAACAUUAAUGACUGUGAAAGUAUAUAGAAGCAUAAGUGACCUGACUUCCCCUGACACAUUCAGAAUUUGAUAAUGAUGAUUCUGUAGCCUUCAUUUAGUCCUAAUCACUGUGUGUGUAGGACACAGGGAGCCCUACAAUCAUAUGGUGAAAAAAAUUAGUUUAUCUUUGAAAGUAAGGGGAUAGGACAUAGUCAAGUAUUUAUGAAAAUAGAAUUUUAUCAUUUAAAAUUCCUUCAUAUUAGUAUUUCAAAUAUAUAAGUAAGACAUACUCAUUAUAGAAAACUGGAAAGUAUGGAAAUUAGAAAAUAUCAUAUUUUCCAGCACACAUGGACAGACAUUACACAACUUAGUAAGUUUUCUCUCCACUUCUCAGCAACCUCCCCUCCGACACACUCUCCCAAACAUGCACAACUGUAGCUUUUCUUCAUAUUAAAUAGGUCUAAGAAAACCCCACUAGUCUCUCCAUUUUUCUCUUGGUUUCUGAAUUCCUUACUACAUCGUAUUCAGAAGAGUUUGAUACCCUUACAUUAACACUCUGGUUCUUUCCCACUGCUGCUAGUGAACUCACCGACUAUGCAUCCCAUCUGAUUAGCAAGUAAAGAUCAUAUUUAACUCCCAAAGUGAAAGUGAUCAUAAUGUACAAAUAUUCUUUCAGUGGUUUUGUCCCAUUUGAGGUAAGAGUUAUCUGUUCUUUUUAAAGUAAGGAAAAUGAUAGCACCUACCUAUAAAGUUUUGUUAUGAGAACUAAAUGAAUUGAAAUAUGUAGAGGAAUUAGAACAAUGGCAAGCAUAUAGUGUAAGUUCAACAAAUACUAGCUAUCAUAUUGGUGUUGUUGUUAUUGUUAUCUUUCAUAUGGUCCUGUGGUUUUAUAGAAAGGAGCAGGGUAAAGAAAGGAAAAAUGAGAGCCACAUCAAUGUCAGCUGAAGCAAAGCUAGCAAAGCUAAUGAACUGUGUUUUUUACACUAUAUUUUUACCACAGUGUAUGAGUAGAAUCAUUACAUAUAUGCAUCAAGAAACAAACCCUGUUUGUGACUAUGCAUGGCAAGAUUGGGCUCUAAGACUACAAAAUAUUUAAAAAUAUUAUGUAAAUGCAAUAUAACAAAUUAUCAUAAUAAUAUUGUGAAACCCCUCAAGAUAAUUAUUUCUCAUGAUCAUUGUGUAACCAAAGCUAAUAUUUGCUAUUCAACAGAAGAGUAAAAUAAAUAACUUCAUGGAAUUUGUAGUAUCUUAAUUAAUCUAAUUUCAUCUAUAAAAUAUGAGUCAACUUGGCGAGGAUCAAAUGCAUUUUUAUUUAUCAGUUUAAAAUUUAAAAAUCCAGUUGACUAUUUUUAAAUUUGUAUAAAAGUAAAAAGAAACAAAAAAGGAAUUAUUGCUUUCAAAGGCAUCCUUUCUGCUUUUCCUACUCAAAAAUGGCUCUGAUUAAAAUUUUUAGCUUUGGCAAGCAGUUAUCCAAAAAUAUGAUCAAAUGAUAAAUGGAUGAGAGAUUCAUGAGUAAAACCCAGCUUUAUGCUGUGCUUUCUAAGUAAUAUUUUUCAACCAAAUUUGAGUAAUUAUUUUUACAACGCAGACUGAUGUGACUAAUAUUUGAGCAGUCUGUUAAAAACAUAAAGUGAGGGAAAUGCUCAUAUUAUAGGGAUCAAAUGGACAAAGAUAAAUUCAUAAUUCUUUAAAAUGCUUUCUGCUUAUCAUACUGUUACAGGUUGAGUUUUUCAGAAAAUGGAUUCUGAAACACAGGUGCAGGAUGUUUAUUAAGAAGGGUCCUUAGGAUCAAUAUCUGUGAAAGAAAAAGAAAGGGAGCAGAGGGAAAACUUCAGCUGUGUCACAGGCACCACGUCAACGUUGGUUGACUCCACGGGGAGCUCUGGAGCUAAAUUGGCCUUUCAUUGUUGCCCUAUCUUGACUCCAAAAUGGCUGUCUUUAUACCCAAACAUCAUGGGAUGUUGGCCUCCCAGACAGGUGUAGCCUUGGAUGAGGCUGCUUUGUCCAGAUGAGGCAAUUUCUUGAAGAGCCUCAUAGCAGAAGUUUAUCUUCCAAUAGCAUACCCAGUAUUUGGGCAUAAGCUCCUCCUCCUAGAAUGACUUGGGCAAAACAUCCACAUACUUUCUCAUGUUUAUUUGUACAAGUAGUGUAAAUUCAGAAUAAAGAUUCAAGGAAAAUUUGGUUAAUUUUUUUUCCUCCCACUCCUCUCUCCAAUUUAAUUUCAUCAAGUCAAUUCAUAAUUACCCUUGAGACAAAAUUUCUGCCUCACCUUCUUUAGGGGUCCUUCACCACCCAAACACACAUGUGCAUAUUACUACCUCCAGAUUUUCUUUCAGAAUUGUCUUUUAAUGGAUCAGUUUCCCUUAGGGAAGGAGAGUUCCUCUAAGACAGGGAUUGUGUCUUAAUCAUCUUUAUAUCUUAACUGUCUACCACAGAAUCUACAUUACAGUGGUCGCUCAGUUGAAUAUUUGUUGAAUGAAUGAAUGGAUGAAUGAAUUUUCCUAUGUCCAUUGGCUCCAUCAUUUUAAUCUCUCCUAAUAUUUCUUAUAUAGCGAAAUUAGCACAAGAUGUUCUCCUUACACAUUGUAAGAUUCGUUGUUGUUGUUGUUUCUUAAGGAAGACUCCAUCUUUAUCAUCAGUGUAGUACUGGGGACUGGCUUAAAAGCCCGUAAGUCAUUGAGUGGGUGAAUGUUGAUUUAAUAGCUCUGGAGGUGAUAAUAAUGUAGUCCCUAUACAAGGAACCACAUGUUCUGGAGAUUCAUUUUACUUAGUGUUGGAGGCCUCCGUAAAUGUCAGAAAAAAAUUAACAACAAAAUUUUAAUAUUAUUAAAUAAAAAAUAAAGCUUUUAUUACCUUAGAACAUUUGUCACACAUUGUACCAUCUGAUACUUUUGUUGAUAUUAAUUUAGAAAUGUCUGGGUUCCUAUUUCUAUAGUCACAGACAGUGAACAAUGCCUACACCCAUAGAGACAACAAACAGUUUUUGAUAUCCUGAAAGUUGUUUGGUUUCAUUGUAAUAUAUCACUUAAUCCUAGUAAUUGUGUAAAGCAUAUAUUGUUUUCAUAAUUUUCAUAUUAUUUUCAUUU
rnacentral:lncRNA from 1 species